rnacentral:misc_RNA from 1 species
AGAAAUUGCGAACCGUAUCUCGCGAAAACACUCGAUGUUCGAGAACGAAAUUUUUUCAGGAUGAACAAUCUACGUGAGCGGAAAGUUGAUCGGAACUGAAACAAUCGAUCGUUUCGUUCUACAAAGUGUUCCGUGGAUUUGUACUCUGACGUAUGAAUGACAGAAAGCAGAAGAAUGUGAUAGGAAGAGGAAUUAUGGCCUUUGGAAAUAAAUCAGAAUAAAAUUACCGCGGAACAUUCCGGUUGUCUACACAAGAGUUAAAAAUAGCAAUUUUCUACAUUUCCUUUCUGCAAUCUACAUAUACACGAACA